rnacentral:tmRNA from 1 species
GGGGAUGAUCGGUUUCGACAGUGCAUGUGUAACUGGAUGAAGCGGGUCGAGAAUGUAGCGUCAACUCGUAAAUGUCCGCUGCAAACUAUAAGUGCUAAAUCAUCACGCACUGACUUCGCCCU